AGCGAACGCUGGCGGCAGGCCUAACACAUGCCAGUCGAACGAACCUUUCGGGGUUAGUGGCGGACGGGUGAGUAACACGUGGGAACGUGCCUUUAGGUUCGGAAUAACUCAGGGAAACUUGUGCUAAUACCGAAUGUGCCCUUCGGGGGAAAGAUUUAUCGCCUGUAGAGCGGCCCGCGUCUGAUUAGCUAGUUGGUUGAGGUAAUGGCUCACCAAGGCGACGAUCAGUAGCUGGUCUGAGAGGAUGAUCAGCCACAUUGGGACUGAGACACGGCCCAAACUCCUACGGGAGGCAGCAGUGGGGAAUCUUGCGCAAUGGGCGAAAGCCUGACGCAGCCAUGCCGCGUGAAUGAUGAAGGUCUUAGGAUUGUAAAAUUCUUUCACCGGGGACGAUAAUGACGGUACCCGGAGAAGAAGCCCCGGCUAACUUCGUG
rnacentral:rRNA from 1 species